CCUACGGGGGGCAGCAGUAGGGAAUCUUUCACAAUGGGCGAAAGCCUGAUGGAGCAACGCCGCGUGCAGGAUGAAGGCCUUCGGGUUGUAAACUGCUUUUAUAAGCGAGAAAUAUGAUGGUAACUUAUGAAUAAGGAUCGGCUAACUACGAGCCAGCAGCCGCGGUCAUACGUAGGAUCCGAGCAUUAUCCGGAGUGACUGGGUGUAAAGAGUUGCGUAGGUGGCAUAAUAAGUAGCUAGUGAAAUCUGGUGGCUCAACCAUUCAGACUAUUAGCUAAACUGUUAAGCUCGAGACCGUUAGGGGUAACUGGAAUGUGUAGUGUAGGAGUGAAAUCCGUAGAUAUUAGAAGGAACACCGAUAGCGUAGGCAGGUUGCUGGGACGGUUCUGACACUAAGGCACGAAAGCGUAGGGAGCAAACGGGAUUAGAUACCCCAGUAGUC
rnacentral:rRNA from 1 species